AAUCACUUGAGGCCCUUGUUAAAGGGUCCUGUUGCCACACUGUAGCACAGUUCUGGGCCACUCUCCUAAAUGAGACCGGACAACCCAGGCAAGUGGCACUGUAGAGUUGUUUGGAGGAGCGUGGAGCCAGGAGAAGUAGGAGCCAGGAGAAGAGGCGUCCUGCUGUGCCUUCUCCCAAAGAUGAAGCUAUAAAUGAAGAAAUGCAGAUGGAGCAUGGACAGAAACACUGACAGAGAUCCACAGAAGCAACUGGACCAGAAGGCUAUGGAUGCGCUUGCCCGAAAUCCACACGAUGGGUUGCUGGUUACAAACAUUAACCAGACCCAGGACCUACUGAAGCUGCAGGCAAGUGAGACUCUGGAAGACUCUGAAGACUGGCUUUCAACUCACAGUUUAAAGUUUGAGAAACUCACCUUGGCUGACCUGAUAAGCCAGGGCACGGUUGAGCUGGAGGAGUGUGGCAAUGCCAUGCCCAAAGUGCAUUUCUCCGCCCAGACCGUCCGCCGCUUUGAAUCAAGGCUUUCUGACACUAUCGAACUCUAUCAGCAGAGGAUGCGCUGGCUCACAGAGAACAGCAGGAAGGCAUUUGGCCUCAUCAAGGGAACAAGAGUGGGACUCCUCAUUGAUGCGUCCCAGGUCAGCAGUGGCCCUCAGCAAGAAGAAUUCCAAAAUGACCUGGCAAGUCUCAUUGACGAGCAACUGAGCCUCAAGGAGAAGUUGUAUGUCCUGUCCUUCGGCGUCACCACCAAACCCCUCUGGCUGGACCCCGUGGAAGUCAGCGCGUCCACCCUCGAGGAACUGAAGCUCUGGGUAAAGAAGCUGCAGCCUGAGGGAAGCUGCAAUCUGCUACAAGCCUUGAAGAAAGUCUUUGCUCACAAGGAGCUGAAUUCUCUGGUGACCAUAUUGAGAAGCUGUCCAGAUCAGCCUUCUGAAUUCCUGUCUGACUACAUCCAGCAGUCCACCAUAGGACGGGACCUCGUCAUUCAUGUGACCACCUACAAAUGCAAUGAUCAUGUGCCCUCCGCUGUUCUGAAGAACCUCACAGACGCGCUUCGGGGCUACCACCACUGCUACAGCUCAGAGUCAGAGCUCUAUACCAGCAGGGAUGUGGAUGAGCUCCUAGCAGAAACCCAGAAGGCGCAAGACCUCCUCAGCCAGGUGCGAGCCCUGGGCCAGAGCAGCCCAUGUGAGGAGCUGGCCUGCAUGAUCCAGAAAAUCUCUACAGAGAUUGUGAAAGGCCCAUUCACAAGUCUCUUGCCUAAACCUCCAAAGCAUGAAGCUCCGCUCACAAUCGAGUUCCCAGACUUGGACAAGACUUCUGCAGAAUGGCUGAAAGUCAAUGGUCUAAAAGCCAAGAAGUUAAGCCUUUAUCAGAUUCUGGCACCAAACGCCUUCAGUACUGUGGAAGAAUUUGUGCCUAUUCUCCAGAAAACAGUGUCAGCUACUAUCCAUGAGAAAGCAAUGAUACAGUUUGAAUGGCAUGAUGGGACAGUGAAGAAUAUCCAUGUCGAACCACCCUUCCUCUAUGAGUACCAGAAGCAGCUUGGGCAAGCUGUACAGAUGUACGAGAAGCGACUUGAGUGGCUCUCCCUGGCCAGCAGGAGAAUCUGGGGCACUGUCUGCGAAAGGAGGGUUGUUAUACUGCUGGAUGUCUCGGUGACCAAUUCCAUGUACAUUAUUCAUAUCCAGCACUCCCUGCGAAUGCUGCUAGAGGAGCAGCUGUCCAACAAAGACCACUUCAACAUCAUCGCGUUUGGAAGUACAAUUGAGAGCUGGAGGCCUGAGAUGGUUCCUGUGAGCCAUGACAACUUACAGAACGCCUGGCGGUGGGCUCUGGGCCUCCGGUGUCAAGGAAGCAGAAAUGUCCUCAGCGCCCUGCGGAAGGCCAUAGAAGUGGACUUCAAGGACAAAGACAAACAUGAGUCUCAGGGCAUCUACCUCUUCACAGGGGGUGUUCCUGACCAAGAUGUGUCCACGCUCAGCGCCUAUGUGGCAGAGGCCUGUGGAGGUUGCGACCUCCGUCUGAACGUUUGUCUGUUCUACGUGGGUGAACCACAACUGGACACCACGCCCCCCGCCUGCUAUGCCAGCCGUACGGACACAGCUACCGCCUACAAAGAGAUCACCCGGGCUGCCCGAGGUCGCCUCCACUGGUUUGGAGAAACAGGUAUUUAUGAGAGUGAUGACAUCAGUGCCAUCAUAUCCGAGAUAGAAAAAGCCCUCACCUACUCCCAAAAGUGUGCCCUCCUCGUGGCCUCCCUGAAGAACCAUUCAGGAAAAGAACUGCAAAGUGCAGCCCUUCAGAAAGACAAGCCAAGGAUGCUCAAGCAAAGUCCGUCCAAGAAUCUCUGUCCUCCCAAGCCCACAGCCCCCUCGGUGGCCAGAAUGAAAAUUAAAGAUGACCUGAAUGGAGACAAGAGCCCCCAGCUAAAAGCUCUGAAGUGUCAUCCCCUCAGUGGCAAAGCAAGCAUCUCUUCAGCUGCAGUCCAUCCUGGGAAAGAGGGGAUGAUGGAACAGAGGAGGAAGGCCAAGCCCGGGGCAGAAGAUACAGCUCUCUCUGUGUUCUGCACAGACUCGGGGAAUAGUGUGGGUUCUAUGUCCAAGAGGUACCCUCAAGGGAAGUUUAUUAGAAGGGCUAACUCUUGUAUUGAGCUGCCCAGGAAGGAUGCUGUUUGCUCAAGUCGAGAGUGGAUAGCCACCUGCGGGCUGAAGAAACUGAAGCUGGAGCUCUCCAGAUGCCUCGGGCCCCACUGUGGAAGUCAGAGGUCAGCACGCAGGGCAGCCAAGCACUGCACUCUCUUCCCCAGUGUAGAGAUCAAUGGAGUGGUUAAGCACAUCCGGUGGACGCUGCGGGAGAUGGAGGAGUACAUCACGUGCAUGGAGAAGGUGAUGAGGUGCUAUGUGAAAAGGCUGCAGUGGCUGCUGUCUGGAAGCCGCAGGCUGUUUGGCACCAUCUUGGAAAGCAAUGUGUGCAUCGUGCUGGACACGUCAGGCUCCAUGGGCCCCCACUUGCAGCAGAUGAAGACAGAGAUGAUUCUGCUGAUUUGGGAGCAGCUGAGGAAGCACUGUGACAGUUUUAACCUGCUUAGCUUUGCCAAGGACCUGAAGCCAUGGCAGAACACUCUGGUGGAGACCACAGAAUCAGCGUGUCACGAGGCUAUGCAGUGGGUGACGCACUUACAAGCCCAGGGGAACACUUCAUUCUUAUCCGCUUUAAUGAAAGCCUUCAGCUUUCAGGAUAUGCAAGGCCUGUACCUCCUAACUGACGGGAAACCAGACACAAGCUGCAGCCUUAUUCUCGACACUGUGCAAAGGCUCUUGAAGGGGAGAGACGUCAAAGUGCAUACUAUCUCCCUGACGAGCACAGACAGAGCAGCAGUUGAGUUCCUGAAGAAGCUGGCUUCCCUCAGUAGAGGACGUUACCACUGUCCUGUGGGUGAGGACACCCUCAGCAGUAUUCAUGGCUUGCUCACCAGAGGCUUCAUCAAGGAAGGGGAUCCCAAGUUGCCACUGUUUGAAGGGGAUGACUUAAAGAUACUGGCCCAGGAGGUCAACAAGGCUAGAAGCCUCCUUAAGCAAGCCCAGGUCUUCAGAUCCCAGCUCCUGAAGAAAAAUAACGCGGAACCAAAGGUCAUUCUUUGCUAGAGACAUGUUCUCAGGCACAGCUCAGAUGGCAUCGAUUCCACUGUGAAGAUGUCCCUGGUACACAUCCAGAGCUAAGGACCUCCAGGCACAUCUGGAUGCUUCUGGCCUUCCUCCUCUUCUGGCUUUCCCGACCAGCUAUGCCUCUUGGGGCAUUCAGCACUGUAGACUGUGAUGUCCUGCUCAAUGUCCUAACUCUUUUUGACCACAGUUCCCUCCCCGAAAGAAGCUACUGUCUUAACUGUCCAUGGAUUCCCCGAACCUGCCACAUGGCAGUCACAUGAACAGUGGAAAGGAACUCGACAGCCUCCCCUAUUGUGGAAAUACAAAUUAAAGUCACAGUGAAACGCAGCUACAGACUCAGAAGAAUGGCUCGACACAAGGUGACCGUGCACAUCAAGACACCAGAGUGACGAGAACGCUCCUGCUGCUGGGAUGCGGCUCAGGGAAAGAAAAUGUGAAUUUUCACCACUUUGAAAAUGUGGCAGUUUCUAUUAAAGCAAAAGACAUCCGUUGUGUGACCCAACAAUCCCUCUCUAGGGGAAAUGAGUGUGUAGAUGCAAGAAUGUGUACAAUAGCUUUAUUUGUAAAAGCCCCAAAUUGGAAACCACCCAAUGUCCAACCAUGGUACAAUAUACAAACAAAUCAUGACAUUUAUAUUUUGCCAAACUAUGAGUCAAUGUGAAGAGCAUGAAAUAUAGUUACUACGUUCACUAAGAUGUAUCAAACUCAUAAACAAUGGAUACACAAAAAACCUAAAAUAAGCUGGAGAUGUGGCUGGGUUGGUUGCCUGGCAUGCAGGAAGUUUUGGGUUCUUGAUGUCCUAACCUGCAUAAAAAGGAGGUAUGGAGGCAGGAGGCUCAGGAAUUCAAGGUCAUCCUUGGCUAUAGCAAGUUCAAGGCCAGUCUGGGCUAUAUAAGAAUCUUCCUUAAGAAAAGAGAGAGAGAAAGAAAAGGAAGAGAAAAGAAAAAGGAACCAGACCUAAGAGUAUAUGCUCACAACUCUAUAUGAAAUUCAAGAACAGGUAAUAUUUGUCACUGAGACAGAAAUCACAAUGCUCUGAGGAGUGCAGAGUGAGCGUUGGGCGCUGGGGGAUUAAAAUGCUUUGUCUUCAUCUGAGUUGUAUUUCAUUAGGACGCUGCUGUGGUUCAGCUAAGAUUUGAACAUGCCCUUCAAACAUUUGCACGUUUAAAUAUGUUGUGGUAUUCAGAGAUGGGG